CAGUAGCCGCGGUAAUACGAAGGGUGCAAGCGUUACUCGGAAUUACUGGGCGUAAAGCGUGCGUAGGUGGUGGUUUAAGUCCGUUGUGAAAGCCCUGGGCUCAACCUGGGAAUUGCAGUGGAUACUGGGUCACUAGAGUGUGGUAGAGGAUAGUGGAAUUUCCGGUGUAGCAGUGAAAUGCGUAGAGAUCGGAAGGAACAUCUGUGGCGAAGGCGGCCAUCUGGGACAACACUGACGCUGAGGCACGAAAGCGUGGGGAGCAAACAGGAUUAGAUACCCGCGUAGUCCCUGUCUCUUAUAC
rnacentral:rRNA from 1 species